rnacentral:tRNA from 1 species
UCCUCGGUAGCUCAGUGGUAGAGCAAACGACUGUUAAUCGUUUGGUCGCUGGUUCGAAUCCGGCCCGGGGAGCCA